CUACGGGCGGCACCAGUGAGGAAUCUUGGACAAUGGGCGAAAGCCUGAUCCAGCGACGCCGCGUGGGUGACGAAGGCCUUCGGGUUGUAAAGCCCUGUCAGAGGGGAAGAAGUUCUGACGGUACCCUCAGAGGAAGCACAGGCUAACUCCGUGCCAGCAGCCGCGGUAAUACGGAGUGUGCAAGCGUUGCUCGGAAUCACUGGGCGUAAAGGGCGCGUAGGCGGCUUGGUAAGUUGGAUGUGAAAGCCCUCGGCUCAACCGAGGAACUGCAUCCAAAACUGCCUGGCUAGAGUACGGAAGAGGAAGGCGGAAUUCCCAGUGUAGGGGUGAAAUCCGUAGAUAUUGGGAAGAACACCAGUGGCGAAGGCGGCCUUCUGGGACGAUACUGACGCUGAGGCGCGAAAGCGUGGGGAGCAAACAGGAUUAGAUACCCGCGUAGUC
rnacentral:rRNA from 1 species